UUAGGAUUCUCACUCAGUGUCUAGCCACUAGGUUGGUGGACAUGUUUGCUCAACACUGCAAUCUUUUUGGGAGAGCCAGUGUGGAUGGGAGAGGGACCAGAGAUAGGAGGAUGUAUGUUCGCCUUCCAUCUGAGAGUGAUGAAGGACGAAGGAAGUGGACUUGGAGAAUGUGGAGGGCUGGAAGAAGUGUAUCACCCACUGUACCUGAUCUACAUGAGAAUGAGUUGAAAAUGGAAGUGGAGAGGCUGACCACAGAGGUGUACCUCCUUACCCAGAAGAGAAAGGAAAUGAGCGAUUACCUGAUAGCUUUCAAAGAGGGAUCCAUGGACAAGAGGUAUGCAUUGC
rnacentral:lncRNA from 1 species